AAUUUCAUGUUUCUUGUUCUCGUUUUCAUAUUUUUUUUCAAAAUAUCAAUACAAAUGUUGUUUUAUCAUUCUGGGUGUUGUUAAGCCCUAUAGAUCCAAAUAGGUUUGAAGAACCAACCCAGUACACCCUUUAAAAUUUAUCUUAGAAAAAUCCCAGAUAUUUACUAAACAGGCCUUGGGAUUUGAAUUAGGAAAUCUCUAGAGAAUGUAAUAAUUCUUGGCACAAUGUACAAAAUAUGCUCAAAAAACAGAAGGAAUAUAUUGCUGUUGUAAAUGACUAUCUGAAUUUGGGAAUUUGGGAGGAGUGAUUGAAACAGAAACUGGAAUUAUUGAAGAAAAAGGAAAGGUAUUUGCUGGCAGUGUUAGAAUAUAGCAAAACCAAUAAGCUGGCACUGUAAUCAAUCAUCUGCACAUCCUUUUUUGUUUACUUGACAGUUUCAACAAGUUCUUCUAUAUGUAACACUCCCAGACCCCAGCCUAGUUAACUCUUAUAAACCAACAGAGAGAGGAAAAGGGACGAUUGCGGGGGAUCAGCCGUUGCCAUGGUGGUGAACGUAUAUUCGCUUGGAGAGAUUUUCAAUAGGUUGAAGCCACAUAUUCUCGUCAACCUGAACAUAGCUCAACUGGUUAAAGUACGUAUCUCCAACAUAACUCUAUGCUUCGCCGCACAGGCUUCCUUCAACCAUGACAUGAAUCUUCACGUCCACAUCACGUAUCGACAAAUCAUUGUUGGUGUCAUCGUGUUUCCAUUCGCUUAUUUCCUCGAAAGAAAUAUGAGGCCGAGGAUUACAGUGGCACUGUUCUUGGAGAUUUUAGAAUGGUCAAGUUAGGGCUGUUGGACUAAAUAUUGCUCUCUGUUGCAUCAUCUAUACUGGAAUAGCAUGCUCAGCUCUGAUAAUAUACAUUCAACUGUGGUGCACAGAAGAAAAAGGACCUGUUUUUGUGACCAUGUUCAACCCACUUUCAGCCAUUUCUUGUUGCACUCUUAGCUUACUUUGUUUUUGGACAAAAACCUUCAAAUUUGUGUCUAAUAAAUGUAUAAUUCA